GACGAACGCUGGCGGCGUGCUUAACACAUGCAAGUCGAACGGUAAGGCCCUUCGGGGUACACGAGUGGCGAACGGGUGAGUAACACGUGGGUGAUCUGCCCUGCACUUCGGGAUAAGCCUGGGAAACUGGGUCUAAUACCGGAUAGGACCACUGCCUGCAUGGGUGGUGGUGGAAAGCUUUUGCGGUGUGGGAUGGGCCCGCGGCCUAUCAGCUUGUUGGUGGGGUGAUGGCCUACCAAGGCGACGGCGGGUAGCCGGCCUGAGAGGGUAACCGGCCACACUGGGACUGAGCUACGGCGCAGACUCCUACGGGAGGCAGCAGUGGGUAAUAUUGCACAAUGGGCGCAAGCCUGAUGCAGCGACGCCGCGUGAGGGAUGACGGCCUUCGGGUUGUAAACCUCUUUCAGCACCGACGAAGCGCAAGUGACGGUAGGUGCAGAAGAAGGACCGGCCAACUACGUGCCAGCCGCCGCGGUAA
rnacentral:rRNA from 1 species